GGGGGUGCACUGGUUUCGACAGGGUUAUUGAAGGAUUGGGUGCGUGUCUAGGUUGAUCGGCAGGCCUAGUUAAAAGCCGAUUAAAUUAUAUUCGACAACAAUGUAGAAUACGCUUACGCUGCCUAAUCACAAGAUUAUAGCACGUAAUGAGGGGCCUACACCGAUAACAAAAAGUAGGUAAAGACCUUUGAGGGAAGGUCGGAAAACUAAACCCUACGUGGGUGCCAGGCCUCCACGCUAAAUCCCCACUGGGUUUUGUGUAUUUGACAAAAUACUCACAGCCGUCACUUGCUCUAAUGUGACUACACACGUAGGACCCUCUUUUGGAUAUGACUUUGGACGCGAGUUCGAUUCUCGCCACCUCCACCA
rnacentral:tmRNA from 2 species